rnacentral:lncRNA from 1 species
AAUUAUUCAAAUAAAUUUAAUGAGAGUAGAUAAUGUGACUUAUCCAAAAAAUACAUUUGGAAAUAUUUAAUUCUACAUAAUAUUCCUUUCAGGAAUUUGCAAAACUCUAAAUUGAUCUUUCGUGUAAUUCAAUUAUCUCUAAAAUUAAAGCAGGAUCGAACGUCGUGAUGGUUCGACCACGGAUGGUUCGACCUCCCAGCCUCCCCACGUCGUAAAGAAAAUCGGCAGCGACCUCCCCACUUAAAGAAAAAAACGACCCCUCCUUCGCUCCUCCCCAUCCCCAAGGGCGAACCGCUCCUCUCGCGCAGCCCCCCCGCCGCCGCACACACCCCCGCGCCGCUCGGUGCCACCGCCACCCCCGCGCCGCCACCGCGCCGCCACCGCGCCCUCUCCCUUNNN